rnacentral:rRNA from 1 species
GUUAGGAAUAUUGGACAAUGGGCGCAAGCCUGAUCCAGCCAUGCCGCGUGAGUGAUGAAGGCCUUCGGGUCGUAAACAGCUUUUGUAUACGAAGAAUAUGACGGUAAUAUACGAAUAAGGGUCGGCUAACUACGUGCCAGCAGCCGCGGUCAUACGUAGGACCCAAGCGUUAUCCGGAGUGACUGGGCGUAAAGAGUUGCGUAGGCGGCUUAUUAAGCGAGUAGUGAAAUCUGGUGGCUCAACCAUCAACACAUUGCUCGAACUGAUAGGCUUGAGAAUGGUAGAGGUAGUUGGAAUUUCUUGUGUAGGAGUGAAAUCCGUAGAUAUAAGAAGGAACACCAAUGGCGUAGGCAGACUACUGGACCAUUUCUGACGCUGAGGCACGAAAGCGUGGGGAGCGAACCGGAUUAGAUACCCCAGUAGUCC